rnacentral:rRNA from 1 species
AUUGAACGCUGGCGGCGUGCUUAACACAUGCAAGUCGAGCGGUAACGCGGGGGCAACCCUGGCGACGAGCGGCGAACGGGUGCGUAAUGCAUGGGAAUCUGCCUAGUAGUGGGGAAUAACCCGGGGAAACUCGGGCUAAUGCCGCAUACGACCUACGGGUGAAAGCGGAGGAUCGCAAGACCUCGCGCUAUUGGAUGAGCCCAUGUCGGAUUAGCUAGUUGGUAGGGUAACGGCCUACCAAGGCGACGAUCCGUAGCUGGUCUGAGAGGACGGCCAGCCACACUGGGACUGUGACACGGCCCAGACUCCUACGGGAGGCAGCAGUGGGGAAUAUUGGACAAUGGGGGAAACCCUGAUCCAGCGACGCCGCGUGUGUGAAGAAGGCCUGCGGGUUGUAAAGCACUUUCGAUGGGAACGAAAUGUGCCGACCUAAUACGUCGGCAAGCUGACGUUACUCAAUGAAGAAGCACCGGCUAACUCUGUGCCAGCCGCCGCCGUAAGAC